rnacentral:rRNA from 1 species
GGGUUGUGAGGUUAAGCGACUAAGCGUACACGGUGGAUGCCCUGGCAGUCAGAGGCGAUGAAGGACGUGCUAAUCUGCGAUAAGCGUCGGUGAGGUGAUAUGAACCGUUAUAACCGGCGAUUUCCGAAUGGGGAAACCCAGUGUGAUUCG